rfam:Cryptococcus depauperatus CBS 7841 supercont1.4, whole genome shotgun sequence.
GAUACGUUCGGAUAGUGGUUAUUCCGCCACAUUGCUAAUGUGGUGCCUUCGGGCUCGUGAGUUCGAAUCUCACACGUGUCA